CCACCUAACCAAACCACCAACUUAAUUCAAUAGUCAAAAAGGACAAAGUGGCCGAGGGUCACGGAGGGGGAAGGAGAGGGAGGGAGGGAGAGAGAGAGAGAGAGAGAGAGAUGUCUCUCUGUAGAUCUCUGUCGCUAGCUUUUUCUUUCUUCCUCUUUCUUGACUUUUGAGCCUAGCUUCCUCCUUCAAUCCUCUAUCUUCUUCUUUUUCAAGCACUACUAGAUUAUUUUGUGUCCUAUUAGGGGAAAGGGGAGAACAUCCACAAGGGUGCAGCACAGACAGAAGCCCUUUCCCUCCCUUCUCUGCAGCUUUCCUCCGGGCCAAGUUGAUGACUUCAAAAUUCUACCCAUCCUUCUGCUUUUGAGUCCAGGAGAUGCAGUUCCCCAGAGAGCCUAAGCUUAUGAUAUCCAUAGCCCCGAACCUGAAGCAUUUGGUAGAUUUCGUGUCCUCAGAUUCAACACAGUGGAGAAGUGGUGUGAUGACUUAUCCAAAAUUUGGUAAUAUGCUGAUGUUCCUUGCGGCAUCCUUUUGACCUGGCUUUUAUUGAAGAUUAGGAAAACAUUAUAACAGAGAGGAGGGAAGAUUUAAAGAAGUUAUAUUACAGCUAAUAUAUGGAACAAGAGAAAAAAAAGAAAAAGGAGAGAGAAGAAAGAACCAGACAUAUUGUAUGUCAGCAUUCAUGGAGAUGUCUAGGGAUAUUUCUAACCAUCAUCAGAACUCUUUCGAAUUCUAACAGAAGAUCUUGGUCUGUCAAAAAGACAAAUUGGAUGAGACAACUAUUCUUCAA